AUACUUACCUGGACAGGGUCUAUGGGUAAUCAAGAAGGCCCAUGGCCUAGGCCUGUGACUUCCAUUGCACUCUGGAAGACUGCUUGCCUAAGGUCUGCCCACGUGGCAGAGCCUAAGUCAUAAUUUGUGGUUGUUGGGGCCUGCGUUCGCGCGGCCCCCGU